rnacentral:rRNA from 1 species
AUUGAACGCUGGCGGCAUGCCUUACACAUGCAAGUCGAGCGGCAGCGCGGGGGCAACCCUGGCGGCGAGCGGCGAACGGGUGAGUAAUGCAUCGGAACGUGUCCUUUUGUGGGGGAUAACCAGUCGAAAGACUGGCUAAUACCGCAUGAGCUCGAGAGAGGAAAGCAGGGGACCGCAAGGCCUUGCGCGAGAGGAGCGGCCGAUGCCCGAUUAGCUAGNGGUGAGGUAACGGCUCACCAAGGCGACGAUCGGUAGCUGGUUUGAGAGAACGACCAGCCACACUGGGACUGAGACACGGCCCAGACUCCUACGGGAGGCAGCAGUGGGGAAUUUUGGACAAUGGGGGCAACCCUGAUCCAGCCAUGCCGCGUGUGUGAAGAAGGCCUCGGUU